CGGAACACGUACAGAACCUUCCUUUAAGCGGGGGAUAGCCCGGAGAAAUCCGGAUUAAUAUCCCAUAGUAUAUCGAAAAGGCAUCUUUUUGAUAUUAAAGAUUUAUCACUUAGAGAUGGCUGUGCGGCUGAUUAGGUAGUUGGUUGAGGUAAUGGCUCACCAAGCCUACGAUCAGUAACUGGUGUGAGAGCACGACCAGUCACACGGGCACUGAGACACGGGCCCG
rnacentral:rRNA from 1 species